AUCUUUCAACAAUAAAUAUCUUAAUUCUUGUAGUAGUGAAGAAUUCAUCAAAAUAUAAUGUGUAGUGUGAAUUGUAGAAUUUUGUGAAUGAUCAAGUUUUUGAAUGUAAAUUGUGCGUAAGGCUUGUCAAAGGACAUUUUUGCAAUAAUGUCA
rnacentral:rRNA from 1 species